CGAAUCUCGAGGGGCUUGCCCCUUGAGAUUAUCGCCGGACGGGUGAGUAACACGUGGGCAACCUGCCUAUAAGACUGGGAUAACUUCGGGAAACCGGAGCUAAUACCGGAUCAUUCUUUUCUACACAUGUAGAAAAGCUGAAAGACGGUUUACGCUGUCACUUAUAGAUGGGCCCGCGGCGCAUUAGCUAGUUGGUGAGGUAACGGCUCACCAAGGCCACGAUGCGUAGCCGACCUGAGAGGGUGAUCGGCCACACUGGGACUGAGACACGGCCCAGACUCCUACGGGAGGCAGCAGUGGG
rnacentral:sRNA from 1 species